GCGGUCACGUGGGCGCCGCGCACUCGGCCCUGCCCCCUUCGUCCUCCCAGUGGAAGAGAGGGCGGGACCCUGGUUCAGGUAUCUGUUGGCCAUCUGGACGUCUUCUUUGGAGAAGUGUCUAUUCAUGUCUUCUGCCCAUUUCUUCACUGGAUUAUUUGUUUUUGGGGUGAGUUUGCAUAUUGGGCUCAGAAACUUCAAGAAGACAUCUACUGAAAAACACACUCUCACCUAGAAGACAAUCUGGAAAUAUUUGUCUAGAUACAUUGACACCUACGGGAACCAGUGCGGAAUGCUCAGCACCUACCUUGCUAACAACUUGCCUUGCCCCUGCAUUCUGCUGUACUGCCUCCCUCCACAGGAGUUCCUCCAAAGUGGAUCCACAAGGGUCUCAUUGCACAAACAGCCUCAACAGGGGCCAGUACCACUCCAAAGUGACUCUUGCCCUGGGGAAAGGAGAAGAUAACCACACACAGCAGUUCAAGGGCAGCCCCAGCAGGGUGCUGUGGGCAGACAUCCAAUCUGACUGCCCCACCAACCAACAGAAACCUCAUAGGGGCAGCACAAAGAGAGUCUAGCAGUUCAAGGUCACUGCAGCCCCAGCAGAAGGCUGGAGUAGACAUCUCUCACUGCUGACCCUGCCCACCAACGAAAGCCUCUUGGGGACAACAUAGGGAGAGCCCUGUAGUUCAGCAUAACCACGGUUCCAGCAAAUGGGCUAAGGCAAGGAUCCAGCUGACUCAACUCAAGCCCAGACUGGCUCCUUAACAGCACAGGGACCAAACCCUGAUGACCAUGGGCAAAGAGGGCCAUUGCAGCCAACUGGACUGAAGGCACAUGUGGCUCAACCGCAGCAGUGGGGCACAGGCAACACACGUAGGAGACCCCUCUGAAGCACCAGGUUCUAGUGAAGAGAAAACCAAAAACCCAGGGAGAAGAAUCUUGAAAUUAAAAAUACACUAGAGUAAAUAAAUAGUAGACCGGAGGAAGCAGAAGAACAGAGAAGCAAGCUAGAAGACAGUAAUGGAGAGCAACCAACCUGAACAGGAAAAAGAAAGAAAAAAUGAGAAUAGGCCAAGAGAACUCAGCAACACCAUCAAGUGUAACAACAUUCACAUUUAGGGAUCCCAGAAGGAGAAGAGAGAAAAAAGGGGGCAAUAACUUUCAAUAAGUAUCUGAAAACUUCCCUAACCUGGGGAAGGAAUUGGAAAUCUAGAUUCAGGAGGCACAGAGAGCCACCAAAUACCAACCCAAGGAGAUCCUCCCCAAGACAAUUAAAAUGGCAAAAAAGUAGUGAUAAUUUUAAAAGCAGCAAGAGAAAAAACAAUUACGUACAAGGGAAAUAUCGGGGUACCUGCGUGGCUCAGUUGGUGGAGCAUCCAACUCUUCAUCUCAGGGUUGUUAGUUCAAGCCCCUCAUUGAGCAUGGAGCCUACUUACACACACACAGGAAACUCCAUAAAGCUGUCAGAUUUUUCAGCAGAAACUUUGCAGGUCAGAAGGGAGUGGCAGGAUAUAUUCAAAGUGCUGAAAGAAAAAACCUGCAGCCAAGAAUACUCUAGCUAGCAAAACUAUCAUUCAGAAUAGAAGGAGAGAUAAAGAGUUUCUCAAGUAAAAGCUAAAAGGAGUUCUUGACUGCUAAAUCAGCCCUACAGGAAACACUAAAGGGAAUUCUUUGAGUGGAAAGGCAGGCCAUAAUCCUUUUCUUAGGAAAGGAAAAGAUUUCUCAGGUACAUGCAAACAUAAUAGAAGUAGAUCAGUCCCUUAUAAAACCAGUACAGGGGUUAAAGCACAAAAACAGUAAAAUCAAUUAGAUCUAUUUAAAAAGUCAAUAAAGGGAUUCACAAAGAAUGUAAAGUAUGACAUACAUAAAGCAUGCAGGGGAUAAGGGGAGUAAAAACGUAGUGCUUUUAGAAUGGGUUCAAACUUAAACAACCAUCAACCUAACAUGCAUAGGAUGUUAUAUACAAACCUAAUGGUAACCACAGUUCAAAAACCUAUAAUAGAUGUGCUUGGAUUCUUUUGUUUUUUUGCAGAUCAAAGGCAUCAAAGAAAGGCAUCAAACCACCGCCAGAUAGCAAGAGGAGGAAAGAACAGAGAAGAACUGCAAAACAACCAUAAAACAACAAAAUGGCAAUAAGUACAUACCUAUCAAUGAUUACUUUGACUGUAAAUGGGCUAAUUAAUCAAAAGACAUAGGGUGACUGAAUGGAUAAAAAAGGCCCAUCUAUAUGCUGUCUAUGAGACUCCUUUCAGAUCUAAACACACAGAUUAAAAGAGAUGGAAAAGAAUUUAUGAUGCAGAUGGAAGUGAAAAGAAAACUGGGGUAGCAAUACUUAGACAAAAUAGACUUUAAAACAAAGACUGUAACAAGAGACAAAGAAGGACACUAUAUAAUAAGAGGAACAAUCCAACAAGAAAAUGUAACAAUUGUAAAUAUUUAUGCACCCAACAUGAGAGUACCCAAAUACAUAAGGCAACUAUUAACAAAAUAGUAAUACAAUAAUAUUAGAGGACUCUAACACCCUACUUACAUCAAUGGACAGAUCAUCCAGACAGGAAAAUCAACAAGGAAUCAGUAGCUCUUAAUGAUUGGACCAGGUGGAUCUAACAGAUAUAUUCAGAACAUUCCUAAAACAGUGGAAUACACAUUCUUUUCAAGUGCACAUGGGACAUUCUCCAGAAUAGAUCACAUGUUAGGCCAUAAGUCUCCCCAAAUUUAAGAAGACUAAAGUCAUACAGUGCGUCUUUUCCAGCUACAGUGAUAUCAAACCAGAAAUCAUCACAAGAGAAAACCUGGAAAGAACACAAAUAUAUGGAGGUUAAAUAACAUGUUACUAAGAAAUCAAAAAUGCAUGGAGACAAGUGAAAAUGAAAACACAACAGUCCAAAAUCUUUGGGAUGCAGCAGAAAGAGGGAAGAUUAUAGCAAUUCAGGCCUACCCUCAAGAAGCAAGAAAAAUCUCAAGCAACCUAACCUCAGACCUAAAAGGAGCUAGAAGAACAAAGUCUAAGGCCAGUGGAAAGAAGGAAAUAAAGAUUAGAGCAGAAAUGAAGUAGACUUAAACAAUAGAACAGAUCAACAAAACCAGGAACUUUUUCUUUGAAAAGAUCAACAAAAUUGAUAAACCUUUAGACAGUUUCAUUAAAAAAAAAAACCAAAAAGGACUCAUAUUCAGAAAUGAAAGAACAAUCAACACCACAGAAAUACAAAGGAUUUUAGUUAUUAUGAAAAAGUGUAUGCCAAAUUGGACAACCUAGAAGAAAUGGAUAAAUUCCUAGAAACAUAGCCUCUCAAAACUAAAUCAGGCAUAGGAAAUUUACUAGUUACUGACAAUGAUCGAAUCAGUAAACAAAAAGCUCCCAAAAGUUUGGCACCAUAUAUCUUCUCAGGUGAAUUCUACCAAACAUUUAAAGAAGAGUUAAUACCUAUUCUUCUUAAACUAUUCCAAAAAAUAGAAGAGGAAGGAUAACUUCUAAAUUCAUUCUAUAAGGCCAGCAUUAUUCUGAUACCAAAACCAGAUAAAGACACCACAAGAAAAGAACUAUAGGCCAAUAUCUCUGAUGAACAUAGAUACAAAAACUCUCAACCAACUAUUAGCAAACCAAAUCCCACAGCAAAAAACUAAACCACGAUCAAGUGGGAUUUAAAAAAUUCACCACGAUCAAGUGGGAUUUAUUCCAGAGAUGGAAUGUGGUCCAUUAUUCACAAUUCAAUGUGAUAUAUCACAUCAACAAGAGAAAAGAUAAAAGCCAUGUGAUUGUUUCAAUAUAUGUAGAAGAAGCAUUUGACAAAGUACAACAUCCAUUAAAAAAUUCAAAGGUUUAGAGGGAAUAUACCUCAACAUAAUAAAGGCCAGCUGUGGAAAACCCAAAGCUAGCAUCCUACUCACUGGUGUGAGUUUUCCCUCUAAGAAAGAAGGAUGUCCAUUCACCACUUUUAUUCAACAUAGUACUGGAAGUCCUAGCCACAGGAAUCAGACAAGAAAAUAAAAGGAAUCAAAAUCAGUAUAGAAGUAAAACUUUCACUAGUUGCAGAAGACAUUAUACUAUAUAUAGAAAAUUCUAAAGAAUUCAACAACAACCUGCUAGAACUGAUAAUUCGGUCAGGUCACAGGAUACAAAAAUCAAUAUACAGAAAUCUGUUGCAUUUCUGUACACUAAGAAGCAGAAGAAAAAUUAAGAAAAUGGUCCUAUUUACUGUUGCACCAAAAGUAGAAUACAUAGUAAACUUAACCAAAGAGGUGAAAGACCUGUACUCUGAAAACUAUAAAAUAUUUAUGAAACAAAUUGAAGACAAUACAAACAAAAGGAAAUACGUUCAGUGCUCAUGAAUGAGAAUCUUGUUUAAAUGUCCAUGAUACCCAUAGCAAUGUACAGAUUUAAUACAAUCCCUAUCAAAAUACCAAAAGCAUUUUCCAUAGAACUAGAACAAAUAAUCCUAAAAUUUGUACAGAACCACAAAAGACCCUGAAUAGCCAAAGCAAUCUUGAAAAAGAGAAACAAAACUGGAGGUAUCACAAUUCCAAAUUUCAAGAUACACUACAAAGCUACAGUACUCGAAACAGUAUGGUACUUACACAAAAAUAGAUACAUAGAUCAAUGGAACAGAAUAGCCCCUAAAUCCACAAUUAUAUGGUCAAUUAAUCUACAACAAAGACAAGAAUGUAUAAUGGGAAAAGUCUCUUCAACAAAUGAUAUUGGGAAAACUGGACAGCUACAUAUGGAAGAAUGGAACUGGACCUCUUUAUUAUAACCAUACACAAAAACCCAAGAUGAAUUAAGGAUCGAAAUGUGAGACCUGAAACCAUAAAUAUCCUAGAAGAGAGCAUAGGCAGUAAUUUCUCUGCUGUAGUCUAUAACAACAUUUUUCUAGAUAGGUCUCCUGAGGCAAGGGAAACCAAAGCAAAAAUAAAUUAUUGGGAUUACAUUAAAAAAAAAAAAGAACAAAAAAAAAAAAAAAA